CCUACGGGUGGCAGCAGUCGAGAAUCAUUCACAAUGGGGGAAACCCUGAUGGUGCGACGCCGCGUGGGGGAAUGAAGGUCUUCGGAUUGUAAACUCCUGUCAUGUGGGAGCAAAUUAAAAAGAUAGUACCACAAGAGGAAGAGACGGCUAACUCUGUGCGAGCAGCCGCGGUAAUACAGAGGUCUCAAGCGUUGUUCGGAAUCACUGGGCGUAAAGCGUGCGUAGGCUGUUUCGUAAGUCGGGUGUGAAAGGCGAGGGCUCAACCGGCGGAUGGCACAUGAUACUGGGAGACUAGAGUAGAGGAGGGGGAACCGGAAUUCUCGGUGUAGCAGUGAAAUGCGUAGAUAUCGAGAGGAACACUCGUGGCGAAGGCGGGUUGCUGGACAUUAACUGACGCUGAGGCACGAAGGCCAGGGGAGCGAAAGGGAUUAGAUACCCGAGUAGUC
rnacentral:rRNA from 1 species